rnacentral:rRNA from 1 species
UACGAAGGGGGCUAGCGUUGCUCGGAAUCACUGGGCGUAAAGCGCACGUAGGCGGCUUGUUAAGUCAGGGGUGAAAUCCUGGAGCUCAACUCCAGAACUGCCUUUGAUACUGGCGAGCUUGAGUUCGGGAGAGGUGAGUGGAACUGCGAGUGUAGAGGUGAAAUUCGUAGAUAUUCGCAAGAACACCAGUGGCGAAGGCGGCUCACUGGCCCGAUACUGACGCUGAGGAGCGAAAGCGUGGGGAGCGAACAGG